AACGAACGCUGGCGGCGUGCUUAACACAUGCAAGUCGAGCGGGAAAGUUUCCUUCGGGAAGCGAGUACAGCGGCAGACGGGUGAGUACAACGUAGGUAACCUACCCUCGAGACCGGGAUAACCUGUCGAAAGACGGGCUAAUACCGGAUAAGACCACAAGGGCGUGCGGCCUUUGUAGGUAAAAAGGAAUGGCCUCUGCUUGCAAGCUAUCACUUGGGGAGUGGGCCUGCGCGCCAUUAGCAGUUGGUGAGGUAACGGCUCACCAAGGCAAAGAUGGCUAGCUGGUCUGAGA
rnacentral:rRNA from 1 species